rnacentral:rRNA from 1 species
UUGCCAGACUCCUACGGGAGGCAGCAGUGGGGAAUAUUGCACAAUGGGGGAAACCCUGAUGCAGCGACGCCGCGUGAGUGAAGAAGUAUUUCGGUAUGUAAAGCUCUAUCAGCAGGGAAGAAAAUGACGGUACCUGAUUAAGAAGCCCCGGCUAACUACGUGCCAGCAGCCGCGGUAAUACGUAGGGAGCAAGCGUUAUCCGGAUUUACUGGGUGUAAAGGGCGUGUAGGCGGGCUUGUAAGUCAGAAGUGAAAUCUGGGGGCUUAACCCCCAAACUGCUUUUGAAACUGCGGGUCUUGAGUGAUGGAGAGGCAGGCGGAAUUCCCAGUGUAGCGGUGAAAUGCGUAGAUAUUGGGAGGAACACCAGUGGCGAAGGCGGCUUGCUGGACAGUAACUGACGUUGAGGCUCGAAAGCGUGGGGAGCAAACAGGAUUAGAUACCCGUGUAAUC